rnacentral:lncRNA from 1 species
GUCAGUGUAUCUUUCUAUAUAAAUUAUAUCUAGGUAAGUAUAUUCAUGCGUACACACAAAUGAAAUAUAAAUGUGUAUCACCUUGUUUAUAUUAGCGCAUAUAUAAUUUAUGUAUAAAGUUAUAUACAUAUGUAUAUACAGAUGAGUAUAUACACAUGCACACAGAUAUGCAUUCCUAUCAAUUGUAUACAAUAUAUAUACAUAUCCGUGUGUGUUUCUUUGUGUGUGUAUACAGGCGCAGGUGUCUUUGUUUUUGUUAAGUAUAUGUACUUUAUAUAAAUACACACAUAUAUAUAUACAUAUAUAUUUACAUACAUAAAUACACCCAGAUUCCCACACACGUAGACACACACACAUAUAUAGGUAUAUAUAUAUAUAUAUCUAUAUCUAUAUCUAUCUAUCUAUCUAUAUAUAUAUAUACACAUAAAUAUAUAUAUGUAUAUGUAUAAUAUAUAUAUAUGUAUAUGUACAUAUAUACACAUAUGCAUCAAUGUAUAAAUAUAAAUAUAUAUAUAUAUAUAUAUAUAUAUAUAUAUAUAUAUAUAUAUAUAUAUAUAUAUAUAUAUAUAUAUAAUAUAUAUAUAUAUAAAUAUAUAUAUAUGUAUGUAAAUAUAUAUAUAUAUAUGUAUAUGUGUAUACGCACACACAUUCAUAAGUAUAUAUUAAUGUGUAAUGGUAUGGUUAUCGGAAUAUAGCCACUUCUUAGAUAUGACAUAAAAUAACUCUAAAGAAAGGAAACAGACGAUAUAUAACCAGCGUAGACAGGAAGAAAGGAUGUAUCGACAACAACAACAACCACCACAACAUCAAAAACAACAACAACAACAACAACAACAAAAAUGGCAACAAAAAUGAGCACCACCACAACCAACAACACCAAGAAGAAGAAGAAGAGCAGCAACGGUAAUAACAGCAACGAAAAAUACAAUACGACGACAAAUGAAUGCUUAUAAAUAAGAAGAAUUUAAAGAAUACAAACGAACGGUGGAAAUAAAUAUAAACAGAAUGGAAAGGAAAUACGUUAAAACUGCGAAGUUUAUUUGUUAUAAAGAUAAAGGAUGCAGAAUUAUUGUUAUAAUUUAAUGAAAGACAUCACAAAGCAACCAUGUUGUUGUUGCUUUUUUUUUCUUUCCAUUUUUUGUAAGUUAUAUUUUUCAUUAAUUGAAAAGAAAUUUAUCAUUAUCGUCAUUAUCGUCUCAUUAUUAUUAUUAUUAUUAUUGUUAUUAUUAUUAUUAUUAUUAUUAUUAUUAUUAUUAUUAUUAUUAUUAUUAUUAUUAUUAUUAUUAUUAUUAUUAUUAUUAUUAUUAUUAUUAUUAUUAUUAUUAUUAUUAUUAUUAUUAUUAUUAUUAUUAUUAUAUUAUUAUUAUUAUUAUUAUUAUUAUUAUUAUUGUUAUUUUAUUAUUAUUAUUAUUAUUAUUAUUAUUAUUAUUAUCAUUAUUAUUAUUAUUAUUAUUAUUAUUAUUAUGAUAUGAUGAACGCCAUGAAUAACCCAGCUAUUGCUGCUGCUGCUACUGAUGCCGCUGCUACUACUGCUACUACUACUACUACUACUACUACUACUGCUGCUGCUGCUGCUACUACUACUACUACUAUUACUACUUCUACAAUUAUAUAUACUUUCGUCGUCAUCAUCAUCAUCAUCAACCUCAACAUCAUCAUUAUAAUCAUUAUUAUUCUUCUUUUCCUUUUUCUUCUUAGCAUUAUCAUUGUUGUGGUUAUUAUUCGUCGCCAUCGUCAUCAUCAUCAUCAGCAGCAGCAGCAGCAGAGUCACUAUUAUCGCCCCCCCCCCCAUUUUUAUCCUUGUUCUUGAUAAUGUUUUUGUCGCCCUUCAUCUUCUGCAUCUUCAUCCUGUUGUUCCUUUAGUACUACUACUACUACUACUACUACUACUACUACUACUACUACUACUACUACUACCACUAUUACUACUUAUACUUAUACUUAUACUUCGUACUAUCAUUAUUAUUAUUGUUAUUAUUAUUAUUAUUAUUAUUAUUAUUAUUAUUAUUAUUAUUAUAAUUAUUAUUACUAUUACGAUCAAUAUUAUUGUUCUUGGUUUUGGUAUUUUUAUAUUUUUUUAUCGUUACUUAUUUUGUUCCUACUUCGUUUUCUUGCCGUUUUCCGUUUUGUUUGAUAUAGAACAAAACUACAAACUUUAACUCCACCACCACCACCACCACCACCACAAACAACGACAACAACAACAACAACACCAUCACCGAGUAGCGUUUAAAAUAUAACAUCAAAGAAAAAUAAAAUCAUAAAAUAAAAGACAAAACAAAAAUAUAGGCUAUACAAAACACAUAGAGAUAAAUAUACAACAACGAAAAAAAAAAGGCAAGAAUAGGUUUAAAGUUAUUAACACACUAGUGUUUGUAUGAUAACAAUUGAAAAUAAAAUUAUUGUUACUCGAGCAGGUGGUUCACCACUAAAGAAAUAAUAUAAAGAAAAUUGUGACUUAAAAGCGACAAUUACAAGAUUUUGUCAGAUUCGCUAAUAAAAUUCGUUUCUAAGAAUUAUUCCUUCUAAUCGAUAUUAAUAUAUGUUCCAGAUUCGCACAAUUGUUUUACGUUUAAAGAAUAAUACAAACCAAACAAAAAAAAAGGGAAACAGCCAAAACUAUCGACAACAAAUAUAGAAAAACAUAGCAUCUGUAUAUAUAUAUAUAUAUAUAUACAUACAUACAUAGAUAUAAUUAUGAAUGCCAAUAUCUAUACGAACGUACGUAUAAGUGCACACACACACAGACACACAGACACACAGAAACACAAACUCACACAUAUAUAUGUAUAUAUACAAGUAUACAUAUAUGAAUAUAUAUAUAUAUAUAUUCAUAUAUGUAUACAUACAUUCAUAUAUCUAUAUAAUAUAUACACAUAUGUACGCAUAUAUAUAUAUAUAUAUAUAUAUAUAUAUAUAUAUAUAUAUAUAUAUACGUACAUAUAUAUGUAUGUAUGUGUGAGUGAGUGUAUAUGUGUGAGUGUGGUUGUGCGUGUGUGUUUAAAGAGAACGGUAGGAACAUGAAAAAUUAAACGGGACUUAGGAACACAAGUAUCAUAUUAAAAGGAAAAUGGUAAUAGGAGAAAAGAACUGAAGCUUAAUUAUUGUCAUUAUCAUGUUUUUAUAACAAGAAAUAAAAGAAGAGACAAAUAGAUGCAUCAGAAUGUGUUUGUAUAUACACACAUAUACAAACAAUUACAUAUAUACACGGAUACAUACUCACACGCGUAGAUAUACACGCAUAUAUAUAAACAUACAUAUAUAUAUAAACAUACAUAUAUAUAUAUACAUACAUAUAUAUAUAUAUAUUUAUAUAUAUAUAUAUAUAUAUAUAUAUAUAUAUACAUAUAUAUAUAUAUAUAUAAAUGUAUGUAUAUAUAUAUAUAUAUUAUUUCAUGCGUGUAAUUAUCUCGAGUCAUAUACCUAUUUUCUUACUUACCAACCAACAUUUAUAUAUCUCUCUCUGUCUGUCUGUCUGUCUGUCUGUCUGUCUUUCUUUCUAUCUAUCUAUCUAUCUAUUUAUCUAUCUAUCUAUCUAUCUAUCUAUCUAUCUAUCUAUCUAUCUAUCUAUCUAUCUAUCUAUAUAUAUAUAUUCACACACACAUAUAUGCGCGCGCCCGUGUGUAUAUAUCUAUGAAUAUAUAUACAGACAUAUGAACAUAAUGUGUAUAUAUACAUUCAUAAAGAUAAUGGAAAUUCGUACAUACAUAUGUAGGUAUGUAUCUAUCUCUAUAUAUAUUUACCUUCCUAUCUUUUUAUCGGUGUAUCUAUCCAUAUAUCUGUCUAUCUAUCAAACUUUAGAUAUAUCAAUAUCUGUCUAUCAAUCUAUCUUUAUGCCAAUUUCUUUUUCUAUAUUCCCCAAAUAAUCUGUAAUUGAUAUGGACAGUAGUUUCACAUUUUCCGCGAUAAUUGCCUCAAUAUAAUUUGAUUAUAUCUUGCGACAUAUAUCUAUAUCUUGUUACACAGUCUAAGUCACUGGGAAUUUGAAAUCUGUUUUAAGAUGCUCCAGUUAUCCAUUACACUUCCGAUUUGCUUCAUCCUUCCUGUGUAAAAUUGCAUCUUUUUUUUCUGUCCACACUUCUUUUCUAGAUAUAUUUUAUAUAUAACAACCGAGGCUGAUAUUAUUACGCAUAUCAUUUUAUAAAUAUGCGCUUUAUGUACACCGCCUCAUGAGACAUAUAGGUUUCGAAACAGAAUUUUUUAAACUAGAAUCUGACAUGAAACGUACUUUAUUCAUGUUGUUUUAUUUGAAAUCAAAUCAGUUUAUUUUCUUGCACAUAAACAUGUCAACGCAUCUAAUAGUUCUGAAUGUACCUGAAUAUUUGUCCAAUACACUUAAUUGAAAUAACUCAUUAACACUAGUCAUGAUACGCCUGCUGAAUAAGCACUUGGCUUUUUCGCGAUAUUCAUAAACACACACGGAUAUAUAUACUGACAUACACACACAAUCAAAAGGAAGCAUACAAACACAGACACACACUGAAAUACGCGCGCUCACACACACACAGAUACACAGACAUACAAAUUUUUAAAAAAGUUUUAAAAACUGUGUGCAUCAUGGAAGAAGAGACUCGGUUUUACCCAAUGAAAUUACUUUCAACUUAGAGAGAUAUUUUUAAUGGCAACGUGGUUAAAGUGUUGCAAUAUUGACCGCUAAAUUUGAGGGUUCCAUAACUGAACUGUUGUGUUCUUGGACAAUUAUUUCCUCCUCCUACGGUACACUCAGCCAUUAAUGGGUAGCCCUGCGACGGACCAUAGAUGGCCUAAGCAGCAGGGAUAGCAUCUUCCGAAAGCUAAAUAACGAUGGAAACCGAUUUGCGAGCGGUGACAUAUAACAACAAAUGCUAGGCUUACCAAGAAUAAGUAUAUGUAUAAAGGCGGCGAGCUGGCAGAAACGUUCGCGCGCCGAUCGAAAUGCUUUGCGGUAUUUUGUCUGUCGUUACGUUCUGAGUUCAAAUUCCGCAGAGGUCGACUUUGUCUUUCAUCCUCUUGGGGUCGAUAAACAAAGUACCAGUUUCGCACUGGGUCGAUGUAAUCGACUUAAUUCCUUCGUCUGUCCUUCUUUGUCACCUCUAUGGUCAGCCCCUUGUGGGUAGUAAAGAAAUAUAUAUAUAUAUAUAUAUAUAUAUAUAUAUAUAUAUACGUGUGUGUGUUUAUAAUCAAUUCGAAUAAACAUGCAAUUGAAAUGAGAGAAUAAAGAAACGAUUUAAAAUGGAGAGCAUGGCGACGUGCACCACACAUGUAUUAGCUUGACGCUCGGUGAAAGGAGAGAGUUUAGCGUUUCAAUUAUUGUAAGGUUAACUGGAAGACAUUUUACACUCAGUAUGGUAUGUUGUAAUUCUCACCUGAAUUGGUCAAGUGAGAGUAAACUCGUAAGCCAUCGACAAACUACAGCCUCUAUUAUAACGUAUACGAAAAGAAAAAAAAAACCCGGAUGGUCUAUGAAAUUUCUGUUGAAAUCAAGAUCUAUAAAAUACAAGACGAAAUAUUCCAAUGACAUUUUAAAUGAUAUGUGUAUCAACGGAAACUUAUUUCCAGAGAAAGCGUGGUCUGUGACUCCAACAAAAUCAAAUUUACUAUAACCUACCUAAUUAUUUUCUCGACCAAUGAGAUUAAUUAUACUUACUAGAUUUAGCUUUCAAUAUCCAAGUGUCGAAGGAAGAGUCAGUCAGGCUGGAACCAUGAGAUUUAGCUACCGAUGCUUUCUAAAAUAGAAAUAUAGAAAUGAGUAGAAUAUAAUUUAGUAACGGAUCAUCGGACUGGUUCCCUAUUAAGGUAUAUUAUCGAAGUCAAUCAGAAACUGUUCCUGCAAAAACAUUGAUUUCUUGAUAUUUUCCAGCUAAAAGUCAAUCUGGUGGAGCAUCUAGCAUUCUUAACUUUUGAGAAAGUUUAGAUGUUUUGGAAACAAAUUGAUGAUUUGAUUUGUUAGCAGGAAACGAAACUGUAUCACAGAAUGUCAAGAAAUAUAUGAAAAGUACAAGAGAACCAAAUUAAAACAAACCAAAUAAAAAGAACCUUCUUGAUCAAACAGUGGUGUGCAAUCACAUAAGCUCAAAAUAUAACUAAGUUGCUGCAAGGUUAAUUGGAAGCCAUUUUAUAGUCAUGAACAGUUGUAGCUAAUAGAAUACCUGUGCCGUCAAUAAUGAUGGCAGGUGUUUUACAAGCGAAUGAAGCCAGAACGAACUGGCCUUAUCAGAGAAUUGAGAAACUAAAUCAUAUAACGGGAAACAACUGACACAAUUUAAAACGGUUACGUGAUAGCUAUGUGUGUGUGUGUGUGUGUGUGUGUGAGUUAUCUUUUGCUUUCAUCUUUUUAUUUUAUUUGUUACAGUCAUUAAACUUCGGCCAUAUUGGUGCUCGGCCUUGAAGACAUUUUUUUGAAAGAAUUAACCCCUGUACAACUUUCUCCAGGUCAAGCAGCAUUGUUUCAUCUAGUGUAGUUAUCCCUUAUGUGUGGCGGCUGGGUUAUAUUUGCGGGAGAUUUUUUGUGUUUUCUACAAGUUUUUUUUUAUUUGGUUCCAAAGAUCUUAGGCUUAUAUAAAUUUACUCCUCUUUUGUUCGUUUCAGUCUUUGGAAUGCGUCCAUGCUCAGCACUACUCUGAUGGAUUUAGUCAAACAAAUCGGUCCAAGCACUAUACAUUUAUAUGUAUACGACGGGUUUCUUUCAGUUUCUUUUACCCAAGUCUACUAGCAGGGCUUUUCACGGCCCGGUGCUAUAGAAAAAUAUAUUUUUCCAAGGGAGCAGCGCAGCGAAGCUGAACCACAUGUUAGGUCAGCUAACAUCAUAACCAUGUAGCAAAAUCAACGCCCACGAGUGUGAAUACACACGCACACACACAUAGACAUACACACAUAUACACACACACAAGCAUAUGUAUAUAUGUACAUGCAAUACUCACAAAAGAUAACUGUCGAUAAUAAAAGCGUAAACAAUAACGAGGCUCUUUAACUACGUCCAUCACGAAAACGAGGCUAACAGUAAUGAAGAGCGAAAUGACACCUGUCUUCAUUUUGAAUUAUUUUCUUUUCUAAACUCUCCCAACUGCCAGUCUCUUACCACCAGCAGCAUUAUCAAUUUAUCAGCCUUAUCUCGACUAGCUUUGUAUCGAUCUUCAUAUACCUUUAAAGAAAUGCUAAUCUUUCUCCUGCAUCACUUGCUGCAAUAAAUUUUCCCGUUUUUAUAAUCAUUUUUAAAUGACGCCAUAUAUUCCGUAGUUAAUGUACUAGCAAUUUCUCAUUAAAAUCUCCAGUAAUUUCCGGUUUAUUAAACACGGCAUUCGUGUUUUACGCAUUUACAAUACAAUACAUAUCAGUCGGUUAGUUCUCCGAUAGUCUUCUGGUGCUGUACACACACGCACACGCACACACACACACAUACACACGCACAAACACAUCUCACACUGACACAUAUUUACACACUCACAUGUGUACUCGUAUGCUUAGGUUCACGCAUACACACACAUAUAUGCACCUAUAAUUAUAUGAGAAAAUGCUCACGUUUGUACACAUUUAUACACAUAUAGCCUCGUAUAUACUCGCAUGCAUACACACACAUAUGCAUAAAUACAUACAUACACAUAAAAAUAUAUGUGCCUUAUAAUUAUUUAUGUAAAUACUUACGUUUGAAUACCUCUAACUGAUGUUACAACGAACUGAUAUUUUGUAUUACGAAUGUACUAUUCUCAAAGCAAUAUCGUUAAGCGGAGCAGUUAACAUAUAUGAGAUUUUAUAAAAUUUCAACACGAGGCUAUUCACGGUUGACUGCUGUGACCGCAGAAUAUUUUGUCGUUUACAAUCCGUCGUUCUUUACAGAUAAACCUGAAGUGAGUUUAAAAAUAUAUGUAUAACACUAUAUUGUUGUCCUUUAUAUAGAUAUAUAAAUAUACAUCAUAUAUGCUUACAUAAUUAUUUAAAUAUAGUGAUAUGUAUACGUCUCUAAAGUCAUAAAACGUAUCAAACUCAUCGUUAAACAAGACGAACAUAUUUAGAGAGCAUAGUCUCUCUUUGGGAACAUAUAUGUGUGUAUAUAUAUGGAAGUUUAAAAGGUUAUGUGAAGAAAUGUCUGAGUGGUACAGUUCUAUAUUUAAGAGAUAAGGAAUUAUGUACAUUAUUUACAUUAUUUAAAUUUGAUGGAUAUUUGUCUUCAUCUUGUUUGUUGUUAACAACGUUUCGGUUGGUAUAACUUCCACUCUUCAUCAGGUGUCUUGGGGAGAUUUCAAACCUGGGCUCUAAUUCCUAAGGUAUUUUUCGAUGUUAUUAUCAUUAUUAUGACUAUUAUGAUUAUUAAUAUUAUUAUUAUUAUUAUUAUUAAUAUUAUUAUUAUUGCUACUACUACUACUACUACUACUACUACUACUACUACUACUACUACUACUACUACUACUACUACUACUACUACUACUACUACUACUACCAUUCAGGCGUAGUGGUUGAGAGUGCGAGCUACUAACGCCAAGAUUCAGAGUUCGAUUCCAGGCUGAGACCUGAAUAAUAAUAAUGAUAAUAAUAAUAAUAAUAAUAAUAAUAAUAAUAAUAAUAAUAAUAAUAAUAAUAAUAACAUCAACAACAUCGAAAAAUAACUUAGGAAUGAGUACCCGGGUGCGAAAUUUCCCAAAGACACCUGAUGAAGGCUGGAGGGUAUAUCAGCGAAAUGCGCUAACAAACAAGAUGAGAACAAAUAGCCGUCAAAUGUAAAUGUCUGAGUGAUGUUUAGAAUAGCGAUAAGAAUUUGGUAAAUCCAUACUCUGUCUUGUGCAAUGAUUUAUCCCGGUAUUAAAAAUAUAUGAGCAGGGGUGGAUGUGUCGUCCAAAUGCUUUAUUUUUAAUGAUGUGUUUCCUGCUUCAUUUCCAGAGCGAAGAUGCUCCAGCAUGUAUAUUUUUCUCUCGCCCGGUGCCGACCAAAUACAUUUUAAGUGAAAGUGGAACGCAAAAUGAAAGAAGCCUGCCCUAUGUAUGUAGGUAUAUAUGUAUGUUUACACACACGCCCACGUGUAUGUAUGAAUGUAUGGGAGUGUAUCGAGGAUUAUGAAUAAAAUUUACCUUCCAAAUAAAUGCAAUUACAUAUUUUCUGUAAUAAACAUCGUUGUGACAAAGUCUUCGGCACAUCGGGACAGGAUUGAAAAUAAUUUAGUCAACAUAUUCAACAAAUAAUAAUUUAUAUAUUUUAUAAAUGGCCUUUAUACGUUACGUAGGUCAACCACACACACACACACACACACACACACACAUACUCAAAAACAUACACGCAUAAAAUAAUUAUGAUGACAUAUUUGCAACGCAACCAUAAAUAAGGAAAUAACAGAUAACACACAUAAAACUAGAAUAUACCAAUGCUAGCCUAAUGAAAUUGCUUCUUAUAUUCCUUCUCUGUCACUGAAAUGAGGUCUAACAGUAAUGUCACCUCAAAACGCAUUUACAAUAUUGGAAUUUCCGUGGAAACGGUCGCUUCUGAAAUCGAUUGUUACUCCUUUUAGAUCGAGUCUGAAACUAUUUUCGGUCUAAUCAGUUUUCUCAAACUUUAACAUUUUUGAACACUCACGUGUUCGGGUUAUAAAAUCAGCGUAAAGUGCCACCAAUUUUCUUGUGCAUAUAUAUAUAUAUAUAUAUAUAUAUAUAUAUAUAUAUAUAUAUAUAUAUAUAUAUAUAUAUAUAUAUAUAUAUAUAUAUAUAUAUAUGCAUAGGUCUGUAUCGUUUCUCUUAUUACUUUCUGUUCAAGUGCGUAGGCUCGAAACGUAAAAGACCUUUUCUCGACCGUCAAACCAAUACACUUGCUUGUAGUUCAUACACUGUCUUCCUCUUUUGUUUUUCCAUAAAUUCCAACUAUAUAUAUAUAUAUAUAUAUAUUGGAACAUAUUUCUCUGAACACCUCAAAUGUAAGUUCUCUUCCCUGAAGAGGGAGACUCGUCGCAUCUGACGAUGCAAUCAAGCUACAAAUAUUAUUAUUGACUGACGAAACCCCAGACACAGCUGUUUGUUGGAUUUGUAUACUUUUUGUCAACAUCUUUCAUUCUUCAUAUUAUUUAUAUUCUGUGUAAGUCAGACCUUUUUUUAUGUAAAUAUACAUUUAUUUGUAUUUCAUGUGUUUAAUAUGCAUUGUAUAUUGACCUGCUUAACUCGCUUAACCAUACAUUUACUUCUAAUUAAUAUUAAAUCUCCAGAGCAAUGAAAACGUAUCCUAUUUGCAGAAUAUUCGGUUUUCAUCAAUGAAUUAUACAUACAUACAUAUUUAUAUAUAUAUAUAUGCAUAUAUAUAUAUAUAUAUAUAUAUAUAUAUAUAUAUAUAUAAAUAUAUGCAUAUAUAUAUAUGCACACAAAUAUAUAUACAUAUAUAUAUAUACAUAUAUAUAUAAAUAUAUGCAUAUAUAUAUAUAAAGAGAGAGAGACAGAGAAAGAUAAAUAGAUAGAUAGACUGAUAUAAAUAUAGAAAAUAGAUAUUGAUAUAUACACAUCUACAUACACAUACAUGACUUCAAUCAGAAACAUAUAUCAAAGUUGUAAUUAAUAUACAUUUUUCAUAUUUGCUAUCCAGUGCCAUGCUAUUCCCAUUCGAACACUUUUUUGUGUAUAUGCAAAUUACCUUGCGACAGAAAUGCACUUUUCUAUAUAUGCUUUUUGUGUUAAAGAAUGAGUUAGGCUUGGAAAGAUGUUAUGCUGGUGAUUUCUGUUGUAGCAAAAUUGUUGUUAGUUGUUGGCUAUCAACCUUUAGUCUGACAGUCAUGAGGUUUUCUGCAAAUUUAAACCGUGAGCUGUUUGACGUGUCCGGUAAAUUUGCCGUAAGAAAAUUCGCAUCGUACGAAAAAUCGCAGUAUUGACAAUGAUAAAGUAUAUCAUAUCAGCAAUUUUCAAAAUGAUAGAAAACAAUAAUAAAAUGUUUUAAAUAAACAAUAAAUAAAGACUUACCUAUUUAAAGUAGGUAAAUCUUUAUUUAAUGACAAACAUGAAAACCAAAUUGACGAGGUCAUUUAAAAUGAAAUUUCUUUCGGUGAAUUUUUCCUACGGCAAAAAUAUUUACGCCGACAUUUCUCAUAGUUGUUUCCUUUUCUUUCUAAUGUUUGACGUUGAAUAAUGACUUGUCUAUCUAAUGUCUAUCUAUAAAAACCCUUUUAUCAUUUUUGUCUUUUAUUUAAAAACAAAAAUGUUGAUGUAUUACACUUUACCAUUGUCCAUAUGAUGAAUUUGUCUGACGUCGAUUUUUCCCUACGGUAAAAAGUAUUUAUUCCCACUUAAACGUGGGUGUUGUUAGAAAAAAAAUCUUUAUGCGAUAAAUACUGUCAGAAAAACUGUGAUAAAUCCCAGCCAACUCCUUCGUCGAGACCCUUGGUUCACCUGAUUUCGACCUGCAGUAGACACCAUAUGUUUAUGACGUUCUAUCUUCUAAAAGCGAUACAAACAAGCGUGCAUUUUGCAUCAGAGGCCUAUAUGAGAUUUUUUUUCAUCUACAGCAGAAAAGUUCGUUCUAACAGAAAAGCCACGACUAAGUGGGAGUAUAUUAAUACGUCGCCAUAUCACGGUUAACCUAUUGCGGUUUAUUAAAGUUUCCGUCGAUUCUUCUGUGGUGUUAUUUUGAUUUAUAAUGAAAUAAAUAUACACAUAUUAUAAAAAUAAUAAUAAAAAAAAAAACAAUAUACAGUACAGUACUGCUUCUACUUAGCGGAUUUUCAGCUAUCACGGGGGAAUUUGGAUCGUAACAUCCGCGAUAGUCGAGGGAUUACUGUAAAUAUUACCUCUCGGUAAAUAAUACUGACUCUGUCGCUAAUAAAUAUAUUUUUAAACGCUCACUGUAUAAUCGCGACACCAGUGCCUGUUCAAGCACUGAUUCACUAUACAUCGCUGACGGAGAGAUGAGUUGCUGUUGUCUCUAACUGUCGAGCGUCCUUCACCGAUGAGAACAACGAAGGUCGAAAUCAUGUGAACUGGUGGUCUCGCCGCUGGAGUUGGGUGAGUUUUAUCUCCUCUGUAGUUAUAGAAAUAAGCGUACAUUCAGACCCCAAAUCCCCUAUGAGAACUUCUCUCGUGGCAUCAACCACAGUAAAGCUUGUUCUAACAGAACAUUUACGUUGAAGUGGGAAUGAAUAUUACCUCUGAGUAUUAAUUCUGCCUAUGUCAAAAAAAUAUACGGUAAAAAUGUUCACAGCAAAAAUUGCCCUUUAUUUGUCGAAAUCCCUUCAAGUUGACACAGGCUGUUUGAUCUUAUUUCACGUCGGUUAGUAAUAAGAUGCAUGUAGAAAGGUUUGGAAGCAGAAAUAAUUAACUAAAUGCAAAAUGUAAAAGAAAAUGAAUGAGGUUUACGUGAAAUAGGAUUUGAAAGCCAUUGUAGUAUGACACAGGGUUAACGAGAAUAUUUUGAGUCUAGCAGUAGGUCAGUCCUGAACGAGUGACAUAUAAUAAAAUUUGUUAUUUAUACCUAUAUAAUUAUUCGAAAUUUUGUUUCAAGUUUUUUUUUUCUAAGCACUCCGUCGGUUACGACGACGAGGGUUCCGGUUGAUCCAAUCAACGGAACAGCCUGCUCGUGAAAUUAACGUGUAAGUGGCUGAGCACUCCACAGACACGUGUACCCUUAACGUAGUUCUCGGGGAUAUUCAGCAUGACACAGACAGUGACAAGGCCGGCCCUUUGAAAUACAGGUACAACAGAAACAGGAAGUAAGAGUGAGAGAAAAUUGUGGUGAAAGAGUACAGCAGGGAUCACCACCAUCCCCUGCCGGAGCCUCGUGGAGCUUUAGGUGUUUUCGCUCAAUAAACACUCACAACGCCCGGUCUGGGAAUCGAAACCGCGAUCCUAUGACCGCGAGGCCGCUGCCCUAACCACUGGGCCAUUGCGCCUCCACUUGUUUCAAAUACAAUAAAUGCUUAUAGUAGUUUACACAUUCGAGACUGUGCUGCAACUGUAAUUCUAACAUUGAUGUCGUUUUUCCUACAAAUUAUCAUCCAACUUAGAAGUUAGUUAUUCACGAAAACAAUUCCUCCCGUGACUGAAAUAUCUGCUAUCACGUCACUGGGCCUCUCAUUGUCUCUGCACUCGACUCUGGUCCUGGCUGACAAAAUCUCGUGAAGCUUCUCCAUCAAAGCAUUCGACUGAAAUAUUUCUGCUGUCAAUUUCCAUUUUUUCUUUACCAAAACUAACCAUAAUGUUCCAAACUCUGGAAUACUCUUACUUAAACACGAUUUUUCUUCAUUGUACGACAUCGAUUGACAACAGUUCAUGACGAACCUGCUAAGGCUGGGCUAAAGAAACCGAAUAAAUCUCCGGUCGCAUAUUAUUCUCCCGGACGAAGAUUUUAAACACAAUUAUUAUAUAUGUGUGAUCGUACAUGAGAAAAUAAAGAAACGGAAACAGGAUGUUAAGGAAGAUAUUUAAGUGAAUGAACAAUAUAGAUUGCCGGAAGUUACUUUUUACAUCUAUGUUUAUAUUUCAUCAAUGUUUGAUGGGAAGUUUUUCAUUUUGAGACCUCAACACAAUGACUUUAUAUUAUAAGAAUAGAUAUGUCUUUAUUUAUUUUGAAUUGGUUCCAAAUCAAUUUUCUAAAGGUAGAGAAAAUAUUACAAAUAGCGUAGUAUUAUAAUGAUAAAUAUUUCAUAUAUUCGUUUCUCUGCAACAAAUAGAUACAUACAUACAUAAAUACACAGACGCACACAUAGAUCUCUCUUUCCCCCCCUCUCUCUCUCUCUGUAUAUAUAUAUAUAUAUAUAUAUAUAUAUAUAUAUAUAUGCACACAUAUAUAUAUGUAUAUAUAUAUAUAUAUACACACACACACACACACACACACACACACACACACAUAUAUAUAUAUAUAUAUAUAUAUAUAUAUAUAUAUAUAUACAUAUAUUUAUGCUGAAAAUAUUGAAAUUUCUCUCUCUCCAACGAGCGUCAAAACAGUAUAACUCUUGUGCUCGCCCUCAGGUUCGUUUCUUUUUUCUCUUUUUCUUUCCUUUUCGUUUUUCGUUUUUUCAAACAUUUGUUUACUGUAUUGACUAUAUAUAUAUAUAUAUAUAUAUAUAGAUAUAGAUAUAGAUAUAGAUAUAGAUAUAUAGAUAAAUAUACACAUACUUGCACACACAUAUAUAUAUAUAUAUAUAUAUAAUAUAUAUAUAUAUAUAAAUAUAUACAUACUUGCAUACAUAUAUUAUGUAUAUAUAUAUAUAUAUAUAUAUAUAUAUAUAUAUAUAUAUAUAGAUAUAUCAUAUAUAUAUAUGUGUAUUGGUGUGUGAGUGGUAUAUAAAAUAUAUGAACAAUUCAACUUGUUGCGAUUAGCACAAAGACCGUACAUUUUAGAAUCGUGAAAUUACAACCACAAGGUACCUCUGAGAGUAGCAAUAUCCUAUGGAAUCAAAAUACGUAAUGGAUUUACCUGACACAUUUCAAACGUAUAGGUUACGACCUCUUUCUCUAGAGUAAUUGAUUACAACAGCCAGAAGAAUAACUAUAGUAAGAAGACGAAGGCAUGAAAACAGCAAGAAAAAAAAAAUGGUGAUACAAAUGAUACGCUUCGUAUGACAAGGAAGAAAAAAGAUGAAGAAAUAACACCGGGAGAGAACUGGAGCUUCAUCGUUUUCAACGUUUGAAACAAAAGCUUUUACACAGAUUGUAACAGGCUGUAGUGCAACAACCGCAACAAGUAAGAAUAAGAACAGCUGAAACAACACCCAUACACACAGAGAAAUGAAUAAACACUAGAAAAUUAAAAACAAGAAGAGAAAGAGCAAGAACAACACAAAACAAUACUACAAGUAAGAAAGAAAUCGUACCAAUAACAAUAAUUAAAUAAAAUUAAAGAAAAAAAUUUUUCCGAGAAAAAAACUAAGAACCUUGUAACCUUGAUAAUAAUUACAUCGGAAUGACAGAAGCAAGAGUAACAAUGAGAUGAAUGAUAAGAAUGUACGCUGUUCACUGAUAAAAUAACAUAAUAGGACUACGUAUUUUAUUGUUUUCCUUAUGUUGUAUCGACUUUUAAUUAACUUUUCUUCAUUUGUCUCGAGACUGUGUGUGUUUUUUUUCUCAGUGAUUUCACAGUCAUUUUUUAUAUAAAGCUAUUCUCGUCAAGAGUUUUUUGUCUCUUUUAUUUUUCGUUCUCUUUUAGGUUUUUCAUUCUUUUCGUUCUUUCAUUCCUUGUUCAUUCUUAACUUUUUUUACAUCGCAUUAAUUUUCCCCUCGUAUUUUCCUGCUAAUUUCUUGUUCGUUCAUGUAUGUAUGCAUUCAUGCAUGAUUGUAUAUUUGUAAGUACGUAAACGUGCGUUUGCGCAGGAAUGUACGCAUGUAAAUAUCUAUCGAUAUUUUAUGUAUAUAUAUAUGCAUCAGUAUAUGUAUUGAUGUGUGUAUACGUUUGUACAUGCAUACAUAUAUAUGCGUCUGUGUUGUUUACACUACGAGAAAUCAUAAACUUUCGAAAGAACGUGGAAUAAAUAUGUUAAGAGCAGUGGAUUUCAAGAAUAUAGAAUUCUCAAUAAUAUCAUUAAAACAUUCGGGAGAAAAACCCUUUCGGAUACACAAACCGUAAGGUUGAACUCGAAGACAUAAUAUUCUAUAUAGCAUUAUAAAUGUCCAGAUCCACUGUUCCAAUAUGUUUGAUAUAUAUAUAUAUAGGAGCAGGAGUGGCUGUGUGGUAAGUAGCUUGCUAACCAGACAUGCGCAGUUAGUCGGUUGCUUCUUGUUGAGCUAGAGUGGACGUGAGUCCAACUGAAGAAAAAAGACCAAAAACGGAAAGUUGUCGAGGUAAGUGAUUUUGUUUAUUGUGAGUUGGGCAUAAUUUAUUGCGUGCCAAUUAUUAUUUCAGUAGGUUGUGUUCAACUCAGACAAUUUCGCCUGCGCUAGGCGGCUGCCGUUUUUGUGUUCAUUGAAAAAAAAAAAAAAGAAAAAACAGUGGAGGGGCGUAUACUCAGGAUUCAAUACAGUUACUGUUAAAAUUACCGUUGGCAGUAACCAGUGCUGUGUUUGAGUUUGCUGAAUUUAUUCCCUUGUCAGAGUACUUCGCAAGAAAAGUAUAAAAAUAAGCCACUAUUGGAUUACCUUUCGGACCCAUUUUUGUGGAGGUUGUGUUGCAGUUGCGGCGUUCCAGGUUCAACCCAGGCCGGGAGUACCGCAGAAUAUUUUUGCUGUGUUUUUUCUGUUUAUUAACUUUCUAUUGAACUUCAUUUACCCCCCCCCCCCCCCAUUUGUUUUUUCUUUAUUGCGACUUUCCGUUAAUUUCUUCCCUUCUGUUGUGCUUUCUCCUUUUUGUUUUUUCAAAAAUCUAUCAAAUUUAUUUAGACUUUUGAACUUUUUUCUUCCUGCUUUUGAGUCUAAUUUGAAUAUAUUUUUUAAAAAACAUGGCAAUGAAAAAUAACAAAGUUUUGGAGUGGGAAAUCAUACCACCCAAAAAGUGGUUGAAGGACCGUGAAGAUAGGACGGUGGUGUUGAGAACCUACUCCAAGGCACUUGACACCAUCGCCCUAUUCGAAAAGACGGCAAUUGAGGAGGAGUUGGAGGAGUAUUUGCCAACAAUUAAAUUCAUUUCCAGGGGUGUCAAAUAUGGAACGGUGUGGUUGCUGUUUGACACCCCUGAAGAGGCUUGCAAAUUUGCUAGCGAACCCUUGGAGGGUAAGGAAAUCUUAUUCCUGCCCACUUACAAAAAAAAGAAAUUAAUGAAAGCUUGGAUCUGCGGACUGCCACCCGACAUAGAACCCGAGUGGAUAGAGGAGACUAUCCGCCGGGGUCUGGGUGACAGCGAAACUAAGCUCCUCAAUGUAAAAGUUCUUCCUGCGGCUGCUUGGGUUGGCUCGAAAGCAGUUUUGACCCUGUGGACCCAAUCAGCCAAUCUGGUUUUUCCAGAUUUUUUGAAAAUGGCCGGGUGCAGGUACCCGGUGAUCCUUGAGGGUCGCCCCCUAAGUGUCAUCGGUGCUUGGAGUCCGGCCACAUAAAGAAGAACUGUCCUCGGGAACAAAAUAGGAUCCCGGAACAGUUAAGUAAAACCCCUCUAGAAGAGGGAACGAUAACGGCCGAGAAAGCAGAGGACUCCUCAAGCAGAGGCCGAAAGAGGAAGGUGAGCAACAAUGGGUGCUCACCAAAGGAUAAUAGGGAUGAGGAGAGGAGGGCGAAUCUUCCAGCCACGGAGGAGACGCACCCUCCCUCAGUUGAAAAGGGAAAAAAAAAGAAAAAGAGGAAGAAAAACGUGUUGCCGGCUGUCAGUGUGGCACCGGAAUGUCGCGGAACUACGUCGGUUGGGGUUGUGCCACCGACAAGAGAAGGAAUACCGUUGGCGGAAACUGUGCCGCCAACGAAAGAACUGAAUGUAUUGGUCCUCUUCUAUAGAGGAAGAGAAAUUGAAAAAGUGAUGGAAGAGCACUACAAGGGAGCACCUUUAGCCUUCACACAGGACCCCGAAUGGCCUCCGCAGGUAGCUGUGGAGGCCGUGGCGUUCGACGUGACGCUAGGGCUAAAGGAGCUCAAUGAAGACUAUAACUUGGUCCCGGGCGACGCGAACUCGGAACUUGACUACGUUCUGAGGGAGGCGUGGUUGAUGGUGGAGGGCGCGGGCACAAGCUAUUUCGAGGACGAUAUGUAUUAUUAGUAAUGGACUUAAGUCCAAAAAUUGAAAAAUUGUAAGAGGAUUAAUACCUCGUUUUGUAUUAAUAAUGGACUGCUAAGCCCAAAAUUGGAAAAAUUGUAAGAGGUUUAAUACCUCGUUUUGUGUUAAUCUUUUUUAAAAAGAACAAUGUUUUAGAGAAGCAAAAGUCGGCGGGCGCUUUCUGUCUUCUCCCAUCCUUAUCAUCUUUCUUUCAUUAUCAUUCACCUCAUUAAUGUCCUCGUCCAGCCCGCAAAGCUAACUUAAUCUGUGUACUGCCUUUAUGGCAAAUGUUUUGAAAUAAAGUAGCUUGCUAACCAACCACAUGGUUCCGGGUUCAGUCCCACUGCGUGGCAUCUUGGGCAAGUGUCUUCUGCUAUAGCCCUGGGCCGACCAAUGCCUUGUGAGUGGAUUUGGUAGAUGGAAACUGAAAGAAGCCUGUCGUAUAUAUAUAUAUAUAUAUAUAUAUAUAUAUAUAUAUAUAUAUAUAUGUAUGUGUGUGUAUGUUUGUGUGUCUGUGUUUGUCCGCCUAGCAUUGCUUGACAACCGAUGCUGGUGUGUUUACGUCCCCGUCACUUAGCGGUUCGGCAAAAAAGAGACCGGUAGAAUAAGUAUUGGGCUUACGGAGAAUAAGUCCCGGGGUCGAGUUGCUCGAUUAAAGGCGGUGCUCCAGCAUGGCCGCAGUCAAAUGACUGAAAUAAGUAAAUUGAAAGAGUAUAUAUAUAUAUAUAUAUUCAAGCUGUACAUAAACCACACGCGGACACUUGGCGAUUUUUUCCUCUCUCUUCAUUUUCUCUUGCACUUUCCCCUCUUUCCGGUUUCUGAAGAAAAACCUCGUCCGAAACGUUAAAUAGAAUAAAAUAAAAAACAGGAAUACAAUACAUGUAAGUGAUGGGCUUUUUUUUGAUGUCUGCAAAAUAUUAAUUCGCAUAAGAACUCAUCAAACUGUUUCAAAUUAUACAUACAACUCCUACUAUAGAGUUGGUCAUACUUUAAAUCUAUUACAUGUAACAGCUCCGACUGAAUACCAUAUCGCCCUUGGUUUUCUCAUUUCUGAAGAUAUAAGGAGCACUCCGUCGGUUGCGACGAUGAGGGUCUCAGCUGAUACGAUCAACAGAACAGCUUGCUCGUGAUAUUAACGUGCAACUGGCUGAGCACUCCACAGACACGUGUACCCUUAACGUAGUUCUCGAGGAGAUUCAGCGUGACACAGAGUGUGACAAGACUGGCCCUUUGAAAUACAGGUACAAGAGAAACAGAUAGAAAGAGCGAGAGAAAGUUGUGGUGAAAGAGUACAGCAGGGUUCACCACCAUCCCCUGCCGGAGCCUCGUGGUGUUUACACCUUUAGGUGUUUUCGCUCAAUAAACACUCACAAUGUCCGGUCUGGGAAUCGAAACCGCGAUCCUCUGACCGCGGGUCCGCUGCCCUACCCACUGGGCCAUUGCGCCUCCACUUUCUGGAGAUAUAUGGUAGCAGAUGCAAGUUUUUACUUUGCCCGCAUGGCUGCAGUUUUCAUUGGUACUACACUUCAAGAACUCCAAGUAUCGAAGUUUGUAAGCCAGUAUGAGAUACUCGUCAUUAAAUUUAGCGAUAGUAUAUCUAGAAUAACAAUCAGUGACGUUAGUCGUUAUCGUAUGUAUAUCGGAAUAUCCUGCAUGAGACAGAUCCAUUUAGCGUUCAGACUGUUGCUUUCGAUGGAUUCAAUCUUCAAAGUGAAAUCAGCUUCAAUCGUUUACAUAUAACAUCAAUCGGAUACGAAUAUAUACUGCUUCGUCUAGCGAUAACACUUGGCUUGUUAUUCAACACUAGAAACUCAUAAACGACCAGAUACAUAGCAUAAAUAUAUAUAUAUAUAGGUAUAUGUAUAUAUAGGUAUAUAUAUAUAUAUAUAUAAAUAUGUGUAUAUAUGAAUGUAUAUGUAUGUAUUUACACACACACACACACACACACACACAUAUAUAUAUAUAUACAUAUCUAUAUAUAUGUAAAUAUAUAUAUGAACAUAUAAUUAUAUAUAUAUAGAGAUAUAUUUAUACAUACAUAUAUUUAUCUAUAUAUAUAUAUAUAUAUAUGUUGGCAUAUAUAUAUACAUAUAAAUACAUACAUAUAGAUACAUAAAGACAGACACACACGCAUAUAUAUAUAUAUAUAUAUAUGUGUGUGUGUGUGUGUGUGUGUGUGUAUAAAUCAACACAUUAAAAGUAAUAAGUUUGUAUAAUUUACCCAUGUUUGAGAUUAUUCUGUGUUCUUUUAACACACGGAGAUAAGCUAAAUUUUAUCCUAGACCACAUUGGUAAAUAACGGCGGAGAUUUGCAAAGACAUACUCAGCAAUAUGGUUCCUCACAUAGUGGCACUCACAGACGUGUUGCUAUAUCUUCGUGACCACUGCAACAAAACAAGAGUUUGAAAGACAUAUAUAUAUAUAUAUAUACAUAUAUAUUUAAGUAGGUGAAUGAAUUAUCCUAUGUUUAUCGUCAGCAUGGACAAUUCGUUUAACCGAAACCUGGGUAACAAAUGCACGUCAGAAAAGACGGUUGAAGCGACCUGUCAAUGGUAGUAACUCCGGGUUCAUGUGUAGAAAUCUGUGCUUUGUAUAUGAAUAAAUGAAAGAAUGGACUCAUUAUCGCUUUGGUUACCAUGUAGGCAACCAUCGAAAUUUUUGUUUGUCUUGUUGUCGAGAGAGGCUCCUUUUCUUACCUGAUGAGAAUAUUGCAUAAUGCACCCUUUAUUCCUUCGGAAUGAGAAUAUGCUGUCUUCGAAACAUGUGUCGAGAGUAAAGGAAUUUUGUUAACAUCUUCGUUCGACUCCAUUCUUUCAUUUAUUUAUAUAUAUAUAUAUAUAUAUAUACACACACAUAUAUAUAUAUAUAUAUAUAUAUAUAUAUAUAUAUAUAUAUAUAUAUAUAUAUAUAUAUAUAUAUAUAUAUAUAGAUGUGUGCGCGUGUGUGUGUAUAUAUACAAACAGGAGAAAUAAUCCAUACGUGCGUGUAUAUGUAUAUAUAUAUAUGCACUUAUUUACAUGCCUGCGUAUUCAAAAAUUGUUUGAAUGCGUAAUUAAAAUAAUGGUAAAUAAUGGAAUUUUGAUUAACAUUCAAGCUCGCCCAAUAGCAAAGCAGCGUAUUUUCUGCCACAUUUAUUAAGACAAUUAACAAGAGUGAUCGCUGCUUUCAUAAAAUAUACAUUAGUCUUUGUGAAUAGUUAAUUUGGAAGAAUUCUAUUGGACCAAAAUUAAGCUUGAUGCUAGAAAAUAAAAGUACAAACGAAAAGACUUUUUAGCACUCGCAGACUAACUCGAGAUAUUUUGUAUUAUGGAGUCAUGCUUAUAGGUUACUGAGGAGUAUGUAUCUGCAUGUAUUCGUACGUAAUCGUAUGUUUUUUGUGCAUGUGUGCGUGUAUGUGUGUGUCUGUGCGUGUGUGUGUCGUUGCGGGUUCUCCGUUCGUAGUUUUGUCUACAUGUAAAUAUUGGUACGUAUAUAAGUAUAAAUUAUAUGUUUGUAUCUGAUAGGUUUUUUUUUUAUAUUAUAAUUUAUUUCUCAUAUCGUUUUACGUAUCGUUAUGAAAUUAUAUCCGCAUUAAUGCAUUAGCUCGCACGAAAACAACCACCAAAGCACACACACACACACAUACACACAAACACACACACAAACUCAGAGACAUGCAUAUAGUAACACAACCAAUACCGAUUAUACGUACACAAUUACACAGGAUAAUAGUCAAGAGUACUGACUAAAUGCUUAAUGGCUAUGUACGCAUGAAUGUAUAUAUGCAUAUAUAUACAUAUACAUUUAUAGAUAUAUGCAUAUUUAUAUGUGUGUAUAUGUAUAUAUACAUACACAAACACAAAUACAUAUACAUAUAUAUAUACAUAUAUAUAUAUAGAUAUAUAUAUAUAUACAUAUAUAUAUAUAUAUAUAUAUAUAUAUAUAUAUAUAUAUAUAUAUAUAUAUAUACAUGUAUAUAUACAGAUAGACGUAUAUUCAUUGGAAUUAAAAAUUUAUUCUGUACGUUAAUCAAUACACUCGCACUGUAUUACCUCUUUCACUCUAUCUCAUUUCUUUCUAUGUAUAUAUAUAUUUAUCUCUCUGUUUCUCUGUGUCUCUCUCUCUCUCUCUUUGUAUAUAUAUAUAUAUAUAUAUAUAUAUAUAUAUAUAUAUGAAUAUGUAUAUGUAUGAAUAUGUAUAUGUAUUAAUUUCUUUACAUACUUAUUUAUUCAUAUACAUAUUUUUUUAUGCAUGUGUGUCUUUAUAUAUGUGCCUCUAUGUGUUUCUGGAUCUAUGAAACACUAGGUAUGGUAUAUAUUCUUUGCGCAAAGUUCUUUCUUUUCUUUCCUUCGCAUUUGAUUCUAAAUUCACUACCACAUUCAGGCAAACAGUCCUUGUCACCUAAUUUUGUUUUCCGUCCACACUUUAUAAACACUGUUGCAAAUGAAUUCUCCAUUGUCUGGAAAAUCAUUUACUUUUGCUGAAUUCUAAAUAUUCCUUUCUGAAGAAGUUUAUAUGGUCACAGUCACUCAUUUGCAAUUUCCGUAUUCCUUUGAACGAGUUAUUCAAAUGUUAGCAAGGUGCCUGGAAAGUAGGAUGCCUGGACUUUUUCAACCCCAUAUAUACAUACUAAUAUUUAUAGAUUUAUGUGGACUUCGAGUUCUAUAGAUCCGAGAAACGAUUAUUUCACGUUCUCUCGGAUGUUCAUAAAUUAUGACAUCAACAAUACAUGUGUGUGUGGUGUGUGUUUGCGUGUGUUUGUGUGUGUGCGCGCGUGCGUAUAUGUGUGUGUGCGUGCGUAUGUAUGUGUCUGUACCAGUGUCUGUGUGUCUGCGAGUCCGGGUGUAAUUUCAUAAAAAGUAUCCCAAUCACCGAACGACUCUAUGUUUCUUUGUUUAUAUAUAUAUAUAUAUAUAUAUAUAUAUAUAUAUAUAUAUAUAUAUAUAUAUAUAUAUAUUGAUAUUAUUCGUAAAAAUUACUUCGUCGGUUUUCCUGCAAAACACCAACGUUUCAGGAAUCCACAUCGCUCAUAUCAGUGUAGAUAUCUUCGAUAUAUCAUCAGUGUCUUUGCAUCUCAGAAUUCUAAGAUUUUCGAAACAACCUUCUCCCGUUUGUAUAUAGGACAUGCAAUCCCGUAGAAACCGUUGCAUGUUAUAAUCUCUGAAUUUUACCAUUUCGUAAGUUUGAUGAUUACUUCCAUUUCAAAUUGUAAUAUUUGCGCUGUCACAUAUGGAUUUGAAAUACAUACAUAGAUACAGGCAUACGUACAUACAUACAUACAUACAUACAUACAUACAUACAUACAUAUAUACAUACAUAUAUAUAUAUACAUAUAUAUAUAAAGACAUAUAUAUAUAUAUGUAUAUAUAGAUAUCUAUAUAUAUAUAUGUCUAUAUAUAUAGACAUCUAUAUAUAUAUAUAUAUAUAUAUAUAUAUAUAUAUAUAUAUAUAUAUAUAUAUUUACAUAUAUGUAUAUAUAUAGAUAUAUAUAUAUAUAUUUACAUAUAUGUAUAUAUUUACAUAUAUGUACAUAUAUAUAUAUAUGUAUAUAUAUAUAUAUAUAUAUAUAUAUAUAUAUAUAUAUAUAUAUAUAUAUAUAUAUAUACGCAUAUAUGCGUGUGUGUGCUUUUGUCUGUGUGAGUACUUUGUGUGCGUGUAUGCGAUCGUUUGGAUUUACAUAGACACACACACAUAUGCAAAUCUAUAUAUUUUUGUCCAUGGCUGUUUGUUUGUGUAUUUGUGCAUUAUUCAUAACAUAUAUAUACAUAUACGAACGGAACCUUCAGAUUUCUUUCGUGUCGCAUUAAGAUGGCCACGCACGGGAAUAACAGCAAUGCUGCGCGGUUGCUGCUGCUGCUGCUGGCAUUACUAUACUACUACUACUACUACUACUACUACUACUACUACUACUAGGGAAAUGACGGCAAAAAUAACGAAGACAAUCGACUAUCACUUUUAGAGAACCCAAACUGAACAGAUCCCAAAAUCUGACAAUGGUAAGCUGGCUUUAAAUGCAUAUCAUUAUUUGAGAAAUACUUACAUGACGUGAGAAAAUGUAGGAGAGUUGAUACGGGACUUGUUUAAGAUGAAGUAGCUUGCAUAAUUCCCUUAGCAUAUCGACAUUUUGUUUCAUUUCGUUGAAAAUACUCUUGCAUACCGAAAUUUUUAUGCAGUUUAAUUUUUGCAGGAAAUAAAAUAAUAAUAAUUCGUUUUAAAAUAAUUCACAAAUAUAGAAAUGUUGUAUGCUAACUUCAUGCAGUGAAAUAAUCCUGAGAUGUGACACAACAAUUUUCAUUCAACUAACGUCCUUGAUGUUUUCUCUGGACACAAUAUCAUUGAAAACCUACAGAGGAAGAAAGCUUGUAGAAAUAUCGUGCGAAUUACAGUUGCUCAGGUCUUGCUUAUGUCUAAUUCUUUACGUAUUGUAAUAGAUAUGUUUUUACUUUUGCUCAGGUCUUGCUAGUGUCUAAUUCUUUACGUUUUGUAAUAGAUAUGUUUUUGCUUUUGCUUUGGAGUCCCAGCACUAAUUGUUGUGUGAUAGAAGUUGAUUUUAUUGGGCGGUUAUCGAGAUUGCAUUUGUUCUCUUUCUUCAAAAUUGAGUUCUUUGUAAUUGGAUAUUUCUCUGAGCAGUUAUAAUUCCUUUCUAAUCAACUAUUCUCACUUUUCGUUCUGUAUUAAGAAACACUGUAACAACUGCGACCUCUCUGUCAAAUGUGGCUGUUUCUUUUAAAGAAUUUUGAGGUGACAAAUCAUAAUGGCUUUUCAAAUUUAAUGUUAAUUUGAUUGAUUUUUCUCAGAAAGUGGUAAACCUUCGGGCUAAACCGCUACUUCAACGCGUUGAGAAAUCAGAGCUCCGGUACAUCGAACAUACAAUUGCAAUGUCACAGGAAAUGAUCACGAGAUAGAUUCUUAAAACCGAACCAACCGGCAGUAGAAAUGAGAGUAGACCAAAAAUAAAGAUAUUGGAUAAAAUCUAUCUUCACCGUUAGUCAAGUCUGAGAAUGCAACCUUUCAGUCUAAUGGCAGCUGUUGCUGACAGGACCCUAAUUAAUAGAUGUCCUAGAAAGUUUCGCUCACGGUCGCCACAGGAAUAGCGAACAAUGGCUUAUAUUUUUAACAAAAUAGCUUGAAGUCUCUUAAUUUCGAUACUGCUUCUCCUGAUUGUGACGUCAUAGCACUGUUACAAUAGACAUGUGAAUAGAAUUCCGUCGCAGAUGACAAUAGCAUGCUGGAUAUUUUGAGACGAGCCAACCGACAAGAGACCGGUGGUAAAUAAAAAAAAUGGGAUGGAUGGAUGGAAAAUACCCAUAGUUUUACUUGGGUAAAUUGGGAAUCCAAGCAGUAAGUGUACUGACGCGUGUCCUUGAUAGGGCCUUCAGCUGUAGGUGCCUGAGGACUCAACAACCACAGCCUUUCCUUGAAAUAGUUUGCGAAAAAGAUGGGUGAUGGAUUUUUUAAAGGUUUAAGGAACAAUUGGUCGUUC